UGGUUCAGUGGUAGAAUUCUCGCCUGCCAUGCGGGAGGCCUGAGUUCGGAUCCCAG
rnacentral:tRNA from 1 species